GCCUGGGUGGCUCAGUCAGUUGAGCGUCUGACUUCAGCUCAGGUCGUGAUCUCGCUGUGAGUUCAAGUACCACGUCAGGCU
rnacentral:tRNA from 1 species